ACUCAACGUUAAUUCUUUAAAAAGGGUGAGUUUAAGUUGUAAAACCGUGCUGCUAAUGCUUUCGAGCAUUUGGGCAGAUUUUUGAUCAGCUUGUUAGCCCUAAACUUGUUUUUAAGGAGUUU
rnacentral:sRNA from 1 species